rnacentral:rRNA from 1 species
UGAAUACGAGAUGCUACGGCGUCGAAGCAGUCUAUGUCAUACUUCCAAGAAAAGCUUGCACUGUCAUAAACAAAUAAUGCCUGUACCAUAACCGACACAGGUGGGUAGGUAGAGUAUACUAAGGGGCGCGAGAUAACUCUCUCUAAGGAACUCGGCAAAAUGACUCCGUAACUUCGGGAGAAGGAGUGCCUUAUUUAUAAGGUUGCAAUAACAAGAUCCAAGCAACUGUUUACCAAAAACACAGGUCUCCGCUAAGUCGUAAGACGAUGUAUGGGGGCUGACGCCUGCCCAGUGCCAGAAGGUUAAAGAAGUUGGUUAGCAUCCGCGAAGCUGAUAACUGAAGCCCUGGUGAACGGCGGCCGUAACAAUAACGGUCCUAAGGUAGCGAAAUUCCUUGUCGGGUAAGUUCCGACCCGCACGAAAGGCGUAAUGAUUUGGAUACUGUCUCGGAGAGGGGCUCGGUGAAAUAGACUUGUCUGUGAAGAUGCGGACUACCUGCACCAGGACAGAAAGACCCUAUGAAGCUUUACUGUAACCUGAAAUUGAAAUUGGACUUUACUUGCGCAGUAUAGGUGGGAGGCGUUGAGAAUAUUCUUGCGGGAUUAUUGGAGCCAUCAGUGAGAUACCACUCUUGUAAUGUUAGAUUUCUAACUUUGUAUCAUUAUCUGGUCAAAGAACAGUUUCAGGCGGGCAGUUUGACUGGGGCGGUCGCCUCCUAAACGGUAACGGAGGCGCACAAAGGUUUCCUCUGAACGGGUAGAAAUCGUAUCUAGAGUGUAAAGGCAUAAGGAAGCUUGACUGUGAGACCUACAAGUCGAGCAGGGACGAAAGUCGGUCUUAGUGAUCUGACGGUGCUGAGUGGAAAGGCCGUCACUCAACGGAUAAAAGUUACUCUAGGAUAACAGGCUGAUCUCCCCCAAGAGUUCACAUCGACGGGGAGGUUUGGCACCUCGAUGUCGGCUCAUCGCAUCCUGGGGCGGUAGUACGUCCCAAGGGUUGGGCUGUUCGCCCAUGAAAGCGGUACGCGAGCUGGGUUCAGAACGUCGUGAGACAGUUCGGUCCAUAUCCGGUGUAGGCGUUAGAAUAUUGAGAGGAGCCUUCUUUAGUACGAGAGGACCGAGAAGGACAUACCUCUGGUGUACCAGUUAUCGUGCCAACGGUAAACGCUGGGUAGCUAUGUGUGGAGUGGAUAACCGCUGAAAGCAUCUAAGUGGGAAGCCACCUCAAGAUAAGUAUUCUCUCC